GAUGAACGCUGGCGGCGUGCCUAAUACAUGCAAGUCGAGCGAACGGACGCGAAGCUUGCUUCUCUGAUGUUAGCGGCGGACGGGGGAGUAACACGUGGAUAACCUACCUAUAAGACUGGGAUCACUUCGGGAAACCGGAGCUAAUACCGGAUGAUAUUUUGAACCGCAUGGUUCAAAAGUGUAAGCCGGUCUUGCUGUGCCUUAUAGUUUGAACCGCGCUGCAUUAGCUAGUUGUUAAUGUAACCGUUUACCAAGGCACCUAUGCAUAGCCGACCUGAGAGGGUGAGCGGCCACACUGGGACUGAAACACGGUCCAGACUCCUACGGGAGGCAGCAGUAGUGAAUCUUCCGCAAAGGGCGAAAGCCUGACGGAGCAACGCCGCGUGAGUGAUGAAGGUCUUCGGAUCGUAAAACUCUGUUAUUAGGGAAGAACAUAUGUGUAAGUAACUGUGCACAUCUUGACGGUACCUAAUCAGAAAGCCACGGCUAACUACGUG
rnacentral:rRNA from 1 species